CUGGCUCAGAAUGAACGCUGGCGGCGUGCCUAACACAUGCAAGUCGGAUGUGCCCGCAAGGUGCAUGGCAGACGGGUGAGUAACGCGUAGGAGACCUACCUUUUUGUGGGGAAUAACGUUCCGAAAGGGACGAUAAUACCGCAUGAGACCACAGGAUUGGAUGCCUGUGGUGAAAGCCGGGGACCGUAAGGCCUGGCGCAAGAAGAGGGUCCUGCGUCUGAUUAGCUAGUUGGCGGGGUAACGGCCCACCAAGGCGACGAUCAGUAGCCGGCCUGAGAGGGUGAUCGGCCACACUGGAACUGAGACACGGUCCAGACUCCUACGGGAGGCAGCAGUGGGGAAUUUUGCGCAAUGGGCGAAAGCCUGACGCAGCAACGCCGCGUGGGUGAUGAAGGUCUUCGGAUUGUAAAACCCUGUCGUCAGGGACGAAGGCAUGGGAUUGAAUAUUUCCUAUGCUUGACGGUACCUGGAGAGGAAGCCCCGGCUAACUCUGUGCCAGCAGCCGCGGUAAUACAGAGGGGGCAAGCGUUAUUCGGAAUUAUUGGGCGUAAAGGGCGCGUAGGCGGUUCUUUAAGUGAGAUGUGCAAUCCCCGGGCUCAACCUGGGAACUGCAUCUCAUACUGGAGAGCUAGAGUGCUGGAGAGGGUGGUAGAAUUCCACGUGUAGCGGUGAAAUGCGUAGAGAUGUGGAGGAAUACCAGUGGCGAAGGCGGCCACCUGGACAGUAACUGACGCUGAGGCGCGAAAGUGUGGGUAGCAAACAGGAUUAGAUACCCUGGUAGUCCACGCUGUAAACGAUGAACACUUGGUGUGGUGGGAGUUGACCCCUGCCGUGCCGGAGCUAACGCGUUAAGUGUUCCGCCUGGGGAGUACG
rnacentral:rRNA from 1 species